rnacentral:rRNA from 1 species
UACGGGGGGGGGCGAGCGUUGUUCGGAAUCACUGGGCGUAAAGGGCGCGUAGGCGGCCCGCACAAGUCUGCGGUGAAAACCUCCGGCUUAACCGGGGGCCGGCCGUGGAAACUGUCGGGCUGGAGGCUGGGAGAGGGCAGCGGAAUUCCCGGUGUAGCGGUAAAUGCGUAGAGAUCGGGAGGAACACCGGUGGCGAAGGCGGCUGCCUGGACCAGUCCUGACGCUGGAGGCGCGAAAGCUAGGGGAGCAAACAGG